rnacentral:rRNA from 1 species
GACGAACGCCGGCGGCGUGCUUAACACAUGCAAGUCGAACGGAAAGGCCCUGCUUUUGUGGGGUGCUCGAGUGGCGAACGGGUGAGUAACACGUGAGUAACCUGCCCUUGACUUUGGGAUAACUUCAGGAAACUGGGGCUAAUACCGGAUAGGAGCUCCUGCUGCAUGGUGGGGGUUGGAAAGUUUCGGCGGUUGGGGAUGGACUCGCGGCUUAUCAGCUUGUUGGUGGGGUAGUGGCUUACCAAGGCUUUGACGGGUAGCCGGCCUGAGAGGGUGACCGGCCACAUUGGGACUGAGAUACGGCCCAGACUCCUACGGGAGGCAGCAGUGGGGAAUAUUGCACAAUGGGCGGAAGCCUGAUGCAGCAACGCCGCGUGCGGGAUGACGGCCUUCGGGUUGUAACCCGCUUUCGCCUGUGACGAAGCGUGAGUGACGGUAAUGGGUAAAGAAGCACCGGCUAACUACGUG